rnacentral:rRNA from 1 species
CACGUAGGGUGCAAGCGUUGUCCGGAAUUAUUGGGCGUAAAGGGCUCGUAGGCGGUCCGUCGCGUCGGGAGUGAAAACUCAGGGCUUAACCCUGAGCCUGCUUCCGAUACGGGCAGACUAGAGGUAUGCAGGGGAGAACGGAAUUCCUGGUGUAGCGGUGAAAUGCGCAGAUAUCAGGAGGAACACCGGUGGCGAAGGCGGUUCUCUGGGCAUUACCUGACGCUGAGGAGCGAAAGUGUGGGGAGCGAACAGG